CCUACGGGGGGCAGCAGUGGGGAAUAUUGGACAAUGGGCGAAAGCCUGAUCCAGCAAUGCCGCGUGUGUGAAGAAGGCCUUCGGGUUGUAAAGCACUUUCAGUGGGGAAGAAAGCCUUGGGGCUAAUACCCUCGAGGAAGGACAUCACCCACAGAAUAAGCACCGGCUAACUCCGUGCCAGCAGCCGCGGUAAUACGGAGGGUGCGAGCGUUAAUCGGAAUUACUGGGCGUAAAGCGCGCGUAGGCGGUCUGAUAAGCCGGUUGUGAAAGCCCCGGGCUCAACCUGGGAACGGCAUCCGGAACUGUCAGGCUAGAGUGCAGGAGAGGAAGGUAGAAUUCCCGGUGUAGCGGUGAAAUGCGUAGAGAUCGGGAGGAAUACCAGUGGCGAAGGCGGCCUUCUGGACUGACACUGACGCUGAGGUGCGAAAGCGUGGGUAGCAAACAGGAUUAGAUACCCCGGUAGUC
rnacentral:rRNA from 1 species